rnacentral:rRNA from 1 species
AUACGGAGGGUGCGAGCGUUAAUCGGAAUUACUGGGCGUAAAGCGUACGUAGGCGGUUGGUUAAGUUAGAUGUGAAAGCCCCGGGCUGAACCUGGGAACUGCAUUUAAAACUGGCGAACUAGAGUUGAGUAGAGGGGAGUGGAAUUUCAGGUGUAGCGGUGAAAUGCGUAGAGAUCUGAAGGAACACCAGUGGCGAAGGCGACUCCCUGGACUCGAACUGACGCUGAGGUACGAAGGCGUGGGUAGCAAACGGGAUUAGAAACCCCAGUAGUCC